UGACCAGACUCCUACGGGAGGCAGCAGUGGGGAAUAUUGCACAAUGGGGGAAACCCUGAUGCAGCGACGCCGCGUGUGGGAAGACGGUCCUCUGGAUUGUAAACCACUGUCCCCAGGGACGAAAAUGACGGUACCCGACCAAGAAGCCCCGGCUAACUACGUGCCAGCAGCCGCGGUAAUACGUAGGGGGCGAGCGUUAUCCGGAAUUACUGGGUGUAAAGGGAGCGUAGACGGCGAUGCAAGCCAGAUGUGAAAGCCCGGGGCUCAACCCCGGGACUGCAUUUGGAACUGUGUGGCUGGAGUGUCGGAGAGGCAAGUGGAAUUCCUAGUGUAGCGGUGAAAUGCGUAGAUAUUAGGAGGAACACCAGUGGCGAAGGCGGCUUGCUGGACGAUGACUGACGUUGAGGCUCGAAAGCGUGGGGAGCAAACAGGAUUAGAUACCCCAGUA
rnacentral:rRNA from 1 species